GUGGCUCCAGCCUCACAGGGAAACUUGUGUCUAUCAGGUACCAGAAGUCACUCACAGAGCUAGGGCCUUGCCCAGGCCAGGCU
rnacentral:pre_miRNA from 15 species